UGCAUAUCAAUAAGCGGAGGAAAAGAAAUUAACGAAGAUUUCCUUAGUAACGGCGAGUGAAAAGGAAAUAGUCCAGCGCUGAAUCCCUUGACCUAUGGUAAAGGGAGCUGUAGCGUGUAGGAGAGCCUAUCCGUCGAGUUAUUGGCUUCGGAAUCGCCCUCGAAUGGGAGUCCAAAGCGGGUGCGAGACCCGUAACGAAGUCACGCUCGUCGGUUUGAGCCUCCUUAGAGUCGGGUUACUUGAGAGUGUAGCCCAAAGCGGAAGGUAAACCCCUUCUAAGGCUAAAUAUGACCGCGAGACCGAUAGCGAAACAAGUACCGCGAGGGAAAGUUGAAAAAGAACUUUGAAGAGAGAGUUCAAAAAGGGCGUGAAACCGCUUAGAAUAAAACGGACGGGAGCCGUCAGUGGCCUUCCGGAAUCAGUCGUAUGAAACGAGAUAAUGCGCUUGUCAGAGCGAAAGUCUGGCGGUGUGUUAGGAAACAGUUCAUUCGAUGCAUUUCUGGAGGGUAUGCGUCACGACCGAUGCGAAAGGCUAGUGAAUCCGUCGAAUUGAGGUGGAAACCCUUCGGGGUCGUCAUUACCAGUUCGUCGGCAUAUAGUCGCUAGACCGCAGUAUGCAUCGAGCGCGGAAUAUAUUGGACACUGGCAAAAAUGCUCGUUUAAGCGAUGGAUAGUUGGCGGAAUUUUACUGUACCUGCUCGCAGGUUAUGUUUAUUCCCGUUCAGCCUUUGAAGUCGCGGUCGAGUUUAUAGUGUUCAGGCGUCAGUGGCGUCCGAGACGGUCAACCGUCCGACCCGUCUUGAAACACGGACCA
rnacentral:rRNA from 1 species